GGGCCCGCACAAGCGGUGGAGCAUGUGGUUUAAUUCGAUGAUACGCGAGGAACCUUACCAGGGCUUAAAUGUAGUCUGACAGGGGUGGAAACACCCCCUCCUUCGGGCAGAUUACAAGGUGCUGCAUGGUUGUCGUCAGCUCGUGCCGUGAGGUGUCAGGUUAAGUCCUAUAACGAGCGCAACCCCUAUCGUUAGUUGCCAGCGGGUCAUGCCGGGAACUCUAGCGAAACUGCCGGUGCAAACCGAGAGGAAGGUGGGGGAUGACGUCAAAUCAUCACGGCCCUUACGUCCUGGGCCACACACGUGCUACAAUGGCCGGUACAGAGAGCAGCCACUACGCGAGUAGGAG
rnacentral:rRNA from 1 species